rnacentral:rRNA from 1 species
GAUGAACGCUGGCGGCGUGCCUAAUACAUGCAAGUCGAGCGAACGGACGAGAAGCUUGCUUCUCUGAUGUUAGCGGCGGACGGGUGAGUAACACGUGGAUAACCUACCUAUAAGACUGGGAUAACUUCGGGAAACCGGAGCUAAUACCGGAUAAUAUUUUGAACCGCAUGGUUCAAAAGUGAAAGACGGUCUUGCUGUCACUUAUAGAUGGAUCCGCGCUGCAUUAGCUAGUUGGUAAGGUAACGGCUUACCAAGGCAACGAUGCAUAGUCGACCUGAGAGGGUGAUCGGCCACACUGGAACUGAGACACGGUCCAGACUCCUACGGGAGGCAGCAGUAGGGAAUCUUCCGCAAUGGGCAAAAGCCUGACGGAGCAACGCCGCGUGAGUGAUGAAGGUCUUCGGAUCGUAAAACUCUGUUAUUAGGGAAGAACAUAUGUGUAAGUAACUGUGCACAUCUUGACGGUACCUAAUCAGAAAGCCACGGCUAACUACGUG